UACGGAAGGGGGUUAGCGUUGUUCGGAAUUACUGGGUCGUAAGCGCACGUAGGCGGAUACUUAAGUCAGGGGAUGAAAGUCCCCGGGGCCGCAACCCCCGGGAACUGCCUUUGAUACUGGGUAUCUCGAGUCCGGAAGAGGUGAGUGGAAUUCCGAGUGUAGAGGUGAAAUUCGUAGAUAUUCGGAGGAACACCAGUGGCGAAGGCGGCUCACUGGUCCGGUACUGACGCUGAGGUGCGAAAGCGUGGGGAGCAAACAGG
rnacentral:rRNA from 1 species